AGAAAAUAGAUACCCUGGUAGUCCACGCCCUAAACGAUGUCUACUAGUUGUCGGGUCUUCAUUGACUUGGUAAACGCAGCUAAACGCGUGAAGUAGACCGCCUGGGGAGUACGGUCGCAAGAUUAAAACUCAAAGGAAUUGACGGGGACCCGCACAAGCGGUGGAUGAUGUGGAUUAAAUUCGAUGCAACGCGAAAAACCUUACCUACCCUUGACAUGGUCGGAACCCUGGAGAGAUCUGGGGGUGCUCGAAAGAGAGCCGAUACACAGGUGCUGCAUGGCUGUCGUCAGCUCGUGUCGUGAGAUGUUGGGUUAAGUCCCGCAACGAGCGCAACCCUUGUCAUUAGUUGCUACGAAAGGGCACUCUAAUGAGACUGCCGGUGACAAACCGGAGGAAGGUGGGGAUGACGUCAAGUCCUCAUGGCCCUUAUGGGUAGGGCUUCACACGUCAUACAAUGGUGCAUACAGAGGGUUGCCAACCCGCGAGGGGAGCCAAUCCCAGAAAGUGCAUCGUAGUCCGGAUUGCAGUCUGCAAC
rnacentral:rRNA from 1 species